CUGGGAGCUCUGCCACAGCAAACUCUGGAGUUGCCCCGUCAUGCCUUUCCCACCAGGACAGACGAACCUGGAACUGCCAUACAGAAGUUCCACCCCUGAGAACCAAAAGUCCGAAGAACAGUGCAAUUCUCCCAGGGCACCAACACAAGACUACCUGGGCCUUACUAUAUGGAGAUCUGCCUGACCUCAAACUCAGAGAAAUUCGCUUGCC